rnacentral:rRNA from 1 species
GACGAACGCUGGCGGCGUGCUUAACACAUGCAAGUUGAACGAUGAAGCCGACUUCGGUUGGUGGAAGAGUAGCGGACGGGUGAGUAACGCGUGAGCGACCUGCCCUUUAGUGGGGGACAACACUGGGAAACCGGUGCUAAUACCGCAUAAGCCCACGGUGCCGCAUGGUACUGAGGGAAAAGGAUUUAUUCGCUAAAGGAGGGGCUCGCGUCCCAUUAGGUAGAUGGUGAGGUAACGGCUCACCAUGCCGACGAUGGGUAGCCGGACUGAGAGGUUGAACGGCCACACUGGAACUGAGACACGGUCCAGACUCCUACGGGAGGCAGCAGUGGGGAAUAUUGGGCAAUGGGCGAAAGCCUGACCCAGCAACGCCGCGUGAAGGAAGAAGGUUUUCGGAUUGUAAACUUCUGUCCCAAGGGAAGAAAGAAAUGACGGUACCUUGGGAGGAAGCCCCGGCUAACUACGUGCCAGCAGCCGCAGUAAUAC